AGAGUGAACGCUGGCGGUAGGCCUAACACAUGCAAGUCGAACGGCAGCACAGAGAAGCUUGCUUCUUGGGUGGCGAGUGGCGGACGGGUGAGGAAUACAUCGGAAUCUACCUUUUCGUGGGGGAUAACGUAGGGAAACUUACGCUAAUACCGCAUACGACCUACGGGUGAAAGCCGGGGACCUUCGGGCCUGGCGCGGAUAGAUGAGCCGAUGUCGGAUUAGCUUGUUGGCGGGGUAAAAGCCCACCAAGGCGACGAUCCGUAGCUGGUCUGAGAGGAUGAUCAGCCACACUGGAACUGAGACACGGUCCAGACUCCUACGGGAGGCAGCAGUGGGGGAAUAUUGGACAAUGGGCGCAAGCCUGAUCCAGCCAUACCGCGUGAGUGAAGAAGGCCCUCGGGUUGUAAAGCUCUUUGUUGGGAAGAAAUCCUGUCGGUUAAUACCCGGUAGGAUGACGGUACCAAGAAUAAGCACCGGCUAACUCGUGCCAGCAGCCGC
rnacentral:rRNA from 1 species